CCUAGAGAUUAAGCUUGAGCAGGGACUAGUAACCAUCUUAAACUCGAGACGAAAAGAUCCCGAGGACUAUGCGGACAUGUCUAAAAUGCUCGACAAGGUUUGGAAAGUAUUCACCGCACAAGUUCCGAGACUGCCGUGGGAUCUGCGAUGGAAAUACCCGAAAGUAAUUACUACUAGCUAGCUAGUUCCGCGCAUCUCCCGUUGAUUCUAGCUACUUUCAUCAAUGCCAUUUAUAAUGCUUCAUUAUCAGUUUGAUUGACCUCUAUUUCUCGUAAAGUGCUUGUGGCAAGAAGCCGAGAAUAAUUACUGUGGAUACUACGUCUGCGAGUUCAUCUACAACGCGACGGCCAAGAAUAGGCGGGGCUAAUCUAAAAGAUAAUAUGAGAUGUGGCAGAUAUGGAAUGAACUCCUACCGCAAGAUCGCAUGCGAGCAAUUCAAG